CCUACGGGAGGCAGCAGUAGGGAAUAUUGCUCAAUGGGGGAAACCCUGAAGCAGCAACGCCGCGUGGAGGAUGAAGGUUUUAGGAUUGUAAACUCCUUUUGUGAGAGAAGAUAAUGACGGUAUCUCACGAAUAAGCACCGGCUAACUCCGUGCCAGCAGCCGCGGUAAUACGGAGGGGGCAAGCGUUACUCGGAAUCACUGGGCGUAAAGGGUGCGCAGGCGGAAGAGCAAGUCAGCGGUAAAAUUGAGAGGCUCAACCUCUGUGAGCCGUUGAAACUGGUUUUCUUGAGUGAGCGAGAAGUAUGCGGAAUGCGUGGUGUAGCGGUGAAAUGCAUAGAUAUCACGCAGAACUCCGAUUGCGAAGGCAGCAUACCGGCGCUCAACUGACGCUCAUGCACGAAAGUGUGGGUAUCGAACAGGAUUAGAUACCCGAGUAGUC
rnacentral:rRNA from 1 species